ACGCUGGCGGCGUGCUUAACACAUGCAAGUCGAACGAUGAAGCCUAGCUUGCUAGGUGGAUUAGUGGCGAACGGGUGAGUAAUACGUGAGUAACCUACCUUUAACUCUGGGAUAAGCCUGGGAAACUGGGUCUAAUACCGGAUACGACCAAUCUCCGCAUGGGGUGUUGGUGGAAAGCGUUAUGUAGUGGUUAUAGAUGGGCUCACGGCCUAUCAGCUUGUUGGUGAGGUAACGGCUCACCAAGGCGACGACGGGUAGCCGGCCUGAGAGGGUGACCGGCCACACUGGGACUGAGACACGGCCCAGACUCCUACGGGAGGCAGCAGUGGGGAAUAUUGCACAAUGGGCGCAAGCCUGAUGCAGCGACGCCGCGUGAGGGAUGACGGCCUUCGGGUUGUAAACCUCUGUUAGCAGGGAAGAAGAGAAAUUGACGGUACCUGCAGAGAAAGCGCCGGCUAACUACGUGCCAGCAGCCGCGGUAAUACGUAGGGCGCGAGCGUUGUCCGGAAUUAUUGGGCGUAAAGAGCUUGUAGGCGGUUUGUCGCGUCUGCUGUGAAAGGCCGGGGCUUAACCCCGUGUAUUGCAGUGGGUACGGGCAGACUAGAGUGCAGUAGGGGAGACUGGAACUCCUGGUGUAGCGGUGGAAUGCGCAGAUAUCAGGAAGAACACCGAUGGCGAAGGCAGGUCUCUGGGCUGUAACUGACGCUGAGAAGCGAAAGCAUGGGGAGCGAACAGGAUUAGAUACCCUGGUAGUCCAUGCCGUAAACGUUGGGCACUAGGUGUGGGGGACAUUCCACGUUUUCCGCGCCGUAGCUAACGCAUUAAGUGCCCCGCCUGGGGAGUACGGCCGCAAGGCUAAAACUCAAAGAAAUUGACGGGGGCCCGCACAAGCGGCGGAGCAUGCGGAUUAAUUCGAUGCAACGCG
rnacentral:rRNA from 1 species